rnacentral:rRNA from 1 species
AAUGAACGCUGGCGGUAGGCCUAACACAUGCAAGUCGAACGGCAGCACAGUAAGAGCUUGCUCUUACGGGUGGCGAGUGGCGGACGGGUGAGGAAUACAUCGGAAUCUACUUUUUCGUGGGGGAUAACGUAGGGAAACUUACGCUAAUACCGCAUACGACCUACGGGUGAAAGCAGGGGAUCUUCGGACCUUGCGCGAUUGAAUGAGCCGAUGUCGGAUUAGCUAGUUGGCGGGGUAAAGGCACACCAAGGCGACGAUCCGUAGCUGGUCUGAGAGGAUGAUCAGCCACACUGGAACUGAGACACGGUCCAGACUCCUACGGGAGGCAGCAGUGGGGAAUAUUGGACAAUGGGCGAAAGCCUGAUCCAGCCAUACCGCGUGGGUGAAGAAGGCCUUCGGGUUGUAAAGCCCUUUUGUUGGGAAAGAAAAGCAGCAGGUUAAUACCCCGCUGUUCUGACGGUACCCAAAGAAUAAGCACCGGCUAACUUCGUG